rnacentral:rRNA from 1 species
UACGGGAGGCAGCAGUGGGGAAUAUUGCACAAUGGGCGCAAGCCUGAUGCAGCCAUGCCGCGUGUAUGAAGAAGGCCUUCGGGUUGUAAAGUACUUUCAGUCGUGAGGAAGGUGUUAAGGUUAAUAACCUUAGCAAUUGACGUUAGCGACAGAAGAAGCACCGGCUAACUCCGUGCCAGCAGCCGCGGUAAUACGGAGGGUGCGAGCGUUAAUCGGAAUUACUGGGCGUAAAGGGCACGCAGGCGGUUAAUUAAGUUGGAUGUGAAAUCCCCGGGCUUAACCUGGGAAUGGCAUUCAAGACUGGUUAGCUAGAGUCUUGUAGAGGGGGUAGAAUUCCAUGUGUAGCGGUGAAAUGCGUAGAGAUGUGGAGGAAUACCGGUGGCGAAGGCGGCCCCUGGCAAAGGACUGACGCUCAUGUGCGAAAGCGUGGGGAGCGAAAC